rnacentral:sRNA from 1 species
GCUGGGUGCAAUGGCGCACGCCUGUAAUCUCAGCAGCUUGGGAGGCUGAGGCAGGAGGAUCAUGAGUUCAAUGCCGGCCUCAGCAAAAGCAAGGCACUAAGCAACUCAGUGAGACCCUGUCUCUA